GAAACUGGAAUCCUCUUAGCUAUUGUCGUUACUCUGUUUCCUCUCUUUUACUGGUUGCUUCCAUCUCUCACUCUUAGGUCGUGAUCCAAGAGCCUUUUAACCCAAUCUCCUUUUAAAUAAGCCCUUUAGUUAGCAGCACAUUAUCCUCUGACCUGACCCCUCUCAUCAAAAAUACCAAACAAUGGAAUGACUGAGAAAGCUCCCCUACUCCCACAACUUAUGCUUGGCCUUUUUUUUUCCUCCAAGCACGCAAAGCUUUGC
rnacentral:lncRNA from 1 species